GCUACGGGAGGCAGCAGUGAGGAAUAUUGGUCAAUGGACGCAAGUCUGAACCAGCCAUGCCGCGUGCAGGAAGACGGCUCUAUGAGUUGUAAACUGCUUUUGUACGAGGGUAAACGCAGAUACGCGUAUCUGUCUGAAAGUAUCGUACGAAUAAGGAUAGGCUAACUCCGUGCCAGCAGACGCGGUAAUACGGAGGAUUCAAGCGUUAUCCGGAUUUAUUGGGUUUAAAGGGUGCGUAGGCGGUCGGGUAAGUUAGAGGUGAAAUCGCGGGGCGCAACUUCGGAAUUGCCGCUGAUACUGGUCGGCGAGAGAGUAGUUGCGGUAGGCGGAAUGUAUGGUGUAGCGGUGAAAUGCUUAGAGAUCAUACAGAACACCGAUUGCGAAGGCAGCUUACCAAGCUACUUCUGACGUUGAGGCACGAAAGCGUGGGGAGCAAACAGGAUUAGAUACCCCUGUAGUC
rnacentral:rRNA from 1 species